UGGACAAAUGAUGCUUUGACACUGAUUUGGAUCAGAUUCCAUCCACUGAUUUGCUGUAUACAACUAAUAAUGAUCUAUACAAUUUACUAAGUGCCACCGGGCAGAUGUGCUAGGGCUUUACAUCCAUCAUCUCACAAAGAUCAUAACUGACCCAUUGAUAAGCAGGUACUACAAAUUAAAAAUUUGGUAGAAGGGAGGUUUCCCUUCCCAAUGGUGUCGGAAUAUUAUGUUCAUUGGGGAAUACAGUGCGGAGGCCUUGGCAUUCUCAUUGGUUUUUAUUUUAUGGAGUUAGCCCACACAACACUCCUGCCUGGGCAGAGCUGAAAUUCCCGUUAGGAAAUGAAAUGAAUACAAAGGUCCAUUUGGAGCUUGUGUUGAGGCAACCUUCUUCAUCUUCAGCUCCCAAAGGGGUGGAACAUCUCGGACUGAAAAAUCCUGCUAACCAAGACUCCUAAUCUUACUAACCGAAAGUUUCUAAGGCAUUCAUGAAUGCUUGAAUGUCAACAAUGAUAGUUUAUAAAUCUUUUACCGUGUCUAUAUGGCUGUAAAAACAUUGUCUGGACUUACUCUUACGCUAACACUGUGCUUAAUAACUGUACAACCUUGAGCACAUUCCUUGACCUUCCUGUCUCAUAUUUCUUGCCUGUAAAAUUGGAAUAAGAAUAGUACUACCUCAUAGACUUGUUUGGAGGAUUUAAGUGGCAUAAAUGCCACUAUUCUUGGAACUGUGCCUGGGAAAAGGUAACAAUAAAUGGUAAUGAUCAUUAUUGUUAUUGUUUUUAUUGUUAUUUUCUCAUAUAUAGGCUGUCCUCAUAGCACGCCAAGACAAUUCAGUCAACUUGAGGGGGAAAAUAUCAGUCAAAAUAAGGAGUUGGUGCUGCAACAUUUACUUUCCAUUUGGUUGUUUUAUCAUUGUGUCAAAGAACAACAAACAGCAUAAUCUCUAUUCUUAAAACUUCCUCAGCCUUCUGAUCUUCCCAGAGUCACAGAAAGUAGGAUUUGAAUAGCUUUCAUCUAGUUUGUCUUAGUAAUAGACCCACAGUCCAUCAAGAAACAAAUGCCAUUCUAUAGCCC
rnacentral:lncRNA from 1 species